rnacentral:lncRNA from 1 species
AUCCGACAUCAUUAAUAAGACGAGCACAAAGACCCUGGCCAAGCUCAGCCCAGUUCUGCAGACGUGUGGUAUGGAUUAGCGCAGUUCCCGGGAUGGGUGUAACAGCCCUGGAGGUUAACCGUCCCCGGUAGCGAGGGAUUCCAUGCAGAGGUUUCCCCAUGAACAUAAAGGGCAGCACAGAAUUGCUGUUGGGUCUACUGUUCAGUUGCUCCAAUUCUGGGGAACGUACUCAGCUUCAGGGAUGCAGUUGGAUUUUGCUCCCUGACCUCCCUUGCAUCGUGUAAGAGGGGAACUCUUCCUGACGCCUCGCCCUAGUACCCCUGAGGUCCCUGAAGUAGCCCGGGGUCGGUCACCCGCCUGCUAAGUAGCACGGCGGAGCGGCCCUGCAUCGGUGCAUGUGACAGCUCCACCAGCCAGGCGUGCCACCCAGCCAUUAUCCAGGCCCGUCCUAAGUGCAGCCCGCUGGGCUCAAAUGCCACUUUCGGAAGCAACACAUAAUUUUCUGUUACUGCGAGGGUCGCUGCGAGUCUCCUCCGGCUCCUUGGCACUUGCUUCCACAGCCCAUUGCUGUGACAAAAUGAAAACCCGGCAUUAAAC